AUUGCCUAAAAAUCAACCAGAGACUAUUAAAGCCUGGCUUAAAAUCGUUAAUCCCCCAAUUAUGAGAUAUUGCCUGCAUUGAAAAUAUACAACAGGUUUUAUGUUUGUGACGAUCAUUUCGCUCCUGAGUGUUUUGUUCCCGGAACAUUAAGAGGCUUAAAAGGUAAUGCGAUCCCUACACUUAAUCUUCCACAGGAAAUUUCAGGUUCUUCCAUCCCCGAUAGAGAUAUUCUUGACGGAAGGACGCUCACCCCUCAACCAGGACCAUCAUCUCAGCCUGAUGUACCUGUUACGUUCGAUUC